ensembl:lncRNA
AGGCAUUUUAAAAAUUAUGUCAGAUCUUUCUCUUCCGUGCCAUGGCAAUGUUUCCGGAAGCUUCACUUUUAUUAAAAUGAGGGCAAGGGAGUAAACAAAUUAAUCUCGGAGCGGGAGCAGCCUGGAAGAUGAUGGAAGCCUUAAGGAUCCAGCAGCGUCUUUGCUGGGAAACCAGGAGGUACCACAGAGGCCCAGGGUGGCCUUAUUGCUGGCUCUGAGAGGUCAGGCUCUGGUCUGAGGUCACACAGUGAGAAGGGGCGCUCCCGCUGGGUUUUGAGAACAAAGGGAAAGUUGGGAAUAGUGCUACUUCUCCCAGACAAGCUUUGCCAGGGAUGAAGCCUCAGCUUCCCAGCCUAUUCUCUUGACCUCCAGGACCCCCCAGUAUCACCUCUCUUGCUACAGCUUCUUCUCUUACCUCUCCUUCCCAAUCUCUGGUACCAGGUUCAUUUGCUCACUUUCACCAGCCCUUGUUUCUGCUCACAACCUUCAGUGACUCACUAUCACCCUUGGACUGAAGCUCAGACUCCUCCCUGUGACAUUCUGGUCCCUCCAGGAUAUUACCACAACCCAUUUUUCCAGUCCAAGUGCCCACUGCUCUUUGCAGCUGCAAUCAGGUGCAUCUAAGAAGGUAUGAAGGUGAGAAGAAGGAGAAUAAAAGAAGAUGGGAAGAUAAGAAAGAAGGAAGAAAGGAGGGAGGAGGAGGAAACAAAUGUUAAGUACCAAAAUAUUCCAAAUUUGCUAAUCCUUUAUAUAACAAUGACAAUGGCAGUAGUUGCUCUCAUUUAUUGAGACCAGUCUGCCAGCCACUGGUUCAACACUACUUCAGCUGGUGUUGUUCCUAUAAAGGAGGCAUGGUGAUCUCCAUGCCACAGAGGGGGAACUGGGGCUCACUGUGUAGAACAAUUUGCUCCAGGUCAUGUAUGUCAUAAAUGAUAAAACCAGUCUGUUGGACAUCAAAGCCUAAAUUCUGAACUACUGCACUUCCCACCAACAGUAAACAUUGUCCCCAUUUUGCAGGUGAAGAUGAGGAGGUGCAGGGAGAUAGUGAUAUGCCCUGAGGUACUGGGGGUAAAAACCAAGCAGAAACCAGGAGCAUCAAAGUUCUGGGAAUCAGCUUUACUCCAUCUCUAUCAACACCUGCUCUGGAGAACACAGGAUCUUAACUUACAACUCUGCCUCAGCGUCCCAGAGUGCUGGGAUUAUAAUUAUGGGCCACCAUGCCUGGGUCACAUUCACUCUUUUAAAGCGUGCAGUUGGAUGGGUUGUGAAAGACACGUGUGCAGUAUCUCCACCUCUGCAAUCAAGAUGUGCAUUUCCAUUCACCACAGAAAGUUGCUUUGUGCCCCUUGGUGGAUUCCAUCUCCUAUCCCAGCUCCUGGCAUCCACUGAUGUGGUUUGGCCUUUUUCAGAUGCCAUUAAAUAGAAUCACCCAAUACUGAA